rnacentral:rRNA from 1 species
GACGAACGCUGGCGGCGUGCUUAACACAUGCAAGUCGAACGGAAAGGCCCUGCUUUUGUGGGGUGCUCGAGUGGCGAACGGGUGAGUAACACGUGAGUAACCUGCCCUUGACUUUGGGAUAACUUCAGGAAACUGGGGCUAAUACCGGAUAGGAGCUCCUGCUGCAUGGUGGGGGUUGGAAAGUUUCGGCGGUUGGGGAUGGACUCGCGGCUUAUCAGCUUGUUGGUGGGGUAGUGGCUUACCAAGGCUUUGACGGGUAGCCGGCCUGAGAGGGUGACCGGCCACAUUGGGACUGAGAUACGGCCCAGACUCCUACGGGAGGCAGCAGUGGGGAAUAUUGCACAAUGGGCGGAAGCCUGAUGCAGCAACGCCGCGUGCGGGAUGACGGCCUUCGGGUUGUAAACCGCUUUCGCCUGUGACGAAGCGUGAGUGACGGUAAUGGGUAAAGAAGCACCGGCUAACUACGUGCCAGCAGCCGCGGUGAUACGUAGGGUGCGAGCGUUGUCCGGAUUUAUUGGGCGUAAAGGGCUCGUAGGUGGUUGAUCGCGUCGGAAGUGUAAUCUUGGGGCUUAACCCUGAGCGUGCUUUCGAUACGGGUUGACUUGAGGAAGGCAGGGGAGAAUGGAAUUCCUGGUGGAGCGGUGGAAUGCGCAGAUAUCAGGAGGAACACCAGUGGCGAAGGCGGUUCUCUGGGCCUUUCCUGACGCUGAGGAGCGAAAGCGUGGGGAGCGAACAGGCUUAGAUACCCUGGUAGUCCACGCUGUAAACGGUGGGUACUAGGCGUGGGGUCCAUUCCACGGGUUCCGUGCCGUAGCUAACGCUUUAAGUACCCCGCCUGGGGAGUACGGCCGCAAGGCUAAAACUCAAAGGAAUUGACGGGGCCCCGCACAAGCGGCGGAGCAUGCGGAUUAAUUCGAUGCAACGCGUAGAACCUUACCUGGGUUUGACAUGGAUCGGGAGUGCUCAGAGAUGGGUGUGCCUCUUUUGGGGUCGGUUCACAGGUGGUGCAUGGCUGUCGUCAGCUCGUGUCGUGAGAUGUUGGGUUAAGUCCCGCAACGAGCGCAACCCUUGUUCACUGUUGCCAGCACGUUAUGGUGGGGACUCAGUGGAGACCGCCGGGGUCAACUCGGAGGAAGGUGGGGAUGACGUCAAGUCAUCAUGCCCCUUAUGUCCAGGGCUUCACGCAUGCUACAAUGGCUGGUACAGAGAGUGGCGAGCCUGUGAGGGUGAGCGAAUCUCGGAAAGCCGGUCUCAGUUCGGAUUGGGGUCUGCAACUCGACCUCAUGAAGUCGGAGUCGCUAGUAAUCGCAGAUCAGCAACGCUGCGGUGAAUACGUUCCCGGG